UGCAAGUCGAGCGGAUGACGGGAGCUUGCUCCUUGAUUCAGCGGCGGACGGGUGAGUAAUGCCUAGGAAUCUGCCUGGUAGUGGGGGACAACGUUUCGAAAGGAACGCUAAUACCGCAUACGUCCUACGGGAGAAAGCAGGGGACCUUCGGGCCUUGCGCUAUCAGAUGAGCCUAGGUCGGAUUAGCUAGUUGGUGAGGUAAUGGCUCACCAAGGCGACGAUCCGUAACUGGUCUGAGAGGAUGAUCAGUCACACUGGAACUGAGACACGGUCCAGACUCCUACGGGAGGCAGCAGUGGGGAAUAUUGGACGAUGGGCGAAAGCCUGAUCCAGACAUGCCGCGUGUGUGAAGA
rnacentral:rRNA from 1 species